CAGCCGCAGGAUCAUUAGGGUUUCGUAUUCUUCUUCCGCGAUGAAGCGAAGAGUUUCUACUUCGAUCUCAUUAACAUCUAUGGAGUUUCGAUUUCAAUCCAUGUUAAACAGGCCUCCGUGAAUCUUAGUUCUCGAAUUCUGUCUGUUCUUUACACAAACUGAAACGUUACUCCUAAAUGAUUCAUCCUCUUAUCGUUUUCUUUAACUUCAUCACCCCUCUGCGAGCACGAUCUGUUAAUGAAUACACCGUAUUCCUCUGUAAGGCAGUAUCUCUAUUCCUGUAAAAGUCUAUCCAGUCGAUGCUCAUCCACCGUACAAGUUUGAUUGCUCCGGUUCUGGAAGACUAUAAACGUCAGACGCUGCGGGGAGCUGAUGGCGUAGAUAUGCUCUUACUGGAUUCAAAGGUCAAGACGGAAGUCAUUUUUAACCAAGACCUGUCUCAUCACCAAUUCCAAAUAAAUGUGACUGGGAAACUGAACCUGCUGAGCUGGAUUUCCCUAAUAGCGCCAUGAUCAGAAAGGGACUGGUGGAGGCGUUUAAUGAACUGUGCACCGUCAUGGAGGGAAGUAGCUGCAAGUUUAGUUCUCAUACAUAUGAACUGCUAACGGAAUGACCUCCUGAUAGCACGUAAGGUGUUACCGUUAGAGGAUAGUGCAAAACUCAGACCUGAACUCAUGCAAGUAGCUUCGUUUUCCUGUCAUGGUGCUACUGACUAUACAUUAAGGGUCUAAACCAUGAUCCAGGCUUCUAUUCCCGAAAAUCCUGAAUCUUUGAGACAACUGGGUAUUUAAUGUUCAGUGAAAGUCUCACUAGCUCACUGCAAAUAAGAGAAGACACAAACACAUGAUAAACCGUUGAAGCAACCACUUCAUGCUUGACACGUACUUCUGCCGCGCAGUUGAACCAUUGAUUCUACAGUGUGUAUCAAGAGUUUGAAAAUAUACCAAUGUUGGCUUUGUCGUCUGAAGAUGUCCGAGGAAGUCGGAGGAUGUCGUGACUUGAGUCCAGAUUUUUUUUCAGCUGAGGAAAAGUGUGUUCUUUUGGUUUACGAAUAAUAUCAAAAAGUUGGAUGUGCUCUGUAUAAACUGUCAAUGAGAUGUGUAAUCAGAAUCAAGGAUAAGGCACAAUCAAUUUAAACAGCUUUCUUUGCA